CCUCUAUAGGACCGCCCCCCCCACCCCUACAGGACCUCCCCAACCCCCCCUCACCUCUCUGUAGGGCCGAAUCCGGGGUUCCUCCGGUGGGUCCCACUACGGGAAUCGGUGCCGUGGGUCCCGGGGGGGGAAUCCCAGGUUGGGGGGGGCCCGGGGGGGAGGAGGGAAACGGCGCUGUCGGUCGGUGGCGAUGCGGGUGGAGGGGCGGCCCAGGACCCCAUAUGCCUCUGCCAGGACCUGGAAGCGGCUGUGGCGGGAGGGGGUCUGUGGGUCACCGUCGGGGUGGACCUGUUGAGGGGGGGGGGUGGGGGGGGAAAAGGGUUCAAGGGGGACCCCGAAAGGAGACCCCAAAAGGAGAACUCAGGAAGAAUGAGACGGAGACUCACAGUGCCCCCCCAGUCCGUCCCAGUACCCCCC
ensembl:lncRNA